UUGAUCCCUUUGGCCAUGAGUCACAUUACGUAUUCUGCAAAGGAGAACAAGAAAGAGAAGUGCGAUUCAAUGAGCCCCGGAGGACAUGGAGUAACAAGAUCCAAGAGAGAUCUACCUCCAAUGCAUUACUCCUUUAAGAUAGAGUCGUUCUCCUUACUUCUGAAGACAAAAGUCGAAAAGUAUGAAUCUGAUGUUUUUGAGGCCGGAGGCUACAAAUGGAGGUUGUGUCUUUACCCAAAUGGAAACACUAAAGGAAUAGGGAAAGGCUUUGUUUCCCUUUACCUGCAAAUAGAAAAUACAAGCAAUCUUCGUCAUCGGUGGGAGGUCACCACCGAAUUCAAAUUGUUUGUGCGUGAUCAUAUAAAUGACAAAUAUCUGACUGUCCGAGAAUCGGAUGCAUCAGUAAAACGUUUUCAUGAGAUGAAGACCGAAUGGGGUUUUGAUCAAUUGCUUUCCCUUGAAACAUUCAAUGAUGCUUCUAAAGGAUAUCUUUUCAAUGACGGCUGUGUUUUUGGAGCUGAGAUUUUUGUUAUCAAACCAACUGGAAAAGGGGAAUUACUUUCUAUGGUUAAAAAACCUGCAAAUGGUUCUUUAACAUGGAAGAUCAGAGCUUUCUCUAAAUUAGAUAGGAUGUCAUAUUCCAAAGCCUUUACUGCCGGAGGCAGAAGUUGGAGAAUAGACGUUAGUCCCGAAGGAUAUGGUGAUGGAAAGGGAAAUUCACUAUCUGUAUUCCUGGAACUAGUUGGUGGUGGCAAACUUCCUCCAAAGAAAACUGUGUGGGCAGAAUACAAGCUACGAGUUUUGGACCAACGCCAUGGCAAACAUGUCGAAGAAAAAAUGUCACGUUGGUUUACCUCCUCCAGUCAUACACGUGGUUUCCCCAAGUUCAUGCCACUGGGAGAUCUCCGUGAUGUCUCCAAGGGCUAUGUUAAGAAUGACACUUUAAUUGUUGAAGCUGAAAUUCUUACCCUGUCCGUGUCCAAGCUUUUCUCAUGAAAAUUGCACGAUUUCUCAUACUGAAAUCGUCACUCUGUUAUUCGUAUCAAUAAUUAACCUCUCUGUUUUAUUGUUAAGUGACCUUUCUAUGAAAAAUCAUGCGUUGAUUUCUAUCAAGGACACAGCAGAAAUGGACACUGUCCAUCUUUAUCU